CAUGAAACUAGGUUGUGGACCUCCCGAU
rnacentral:piRNA from 1 species